UGUUGCCUACGGGACGCAGCAGUGGGGAAUAUUGCACAAUGGGGGAAACCCUGAUGCAGCGACGCCGCGUGAGUGAAGAAGUAUUUCGGUAUGUAAAGCUCUAUCAGCAGGAACGAGACAAGACGGUACCUGACUAAGAAGCCCCGGCUAACUACGUGCCAGCAGCCGCGGUAAUACGUAGGGGGCAAGCGUUAUCCGGAAUCACUGGGUGUAAAGGGAGCGCAGACGGCUGAGCAAGCCUGAAGUGAAAGGCGGGG
rnacentral:rRNA from 1 species